rnacentral:lncRNA from 1 species
AAUUAACCUUUUUACUAUUCGAGACAACCAAACAAAUCAGCACAAAUGCUUUACACAACCGUAAUAAUUUAAUUAAAAUUUAAAUGCCAACAUUGACAUGCCAGAAUUCAAGUUUUAAUCAAAAUUGAAGUCUCGGGCUGAGAAAGGGGCGUUUAUUUCGUGUGGUCUGUGGGAAUUUAAUGGAUUUCAGCAUCGAAAAAGAGGCAAACAUAUAGCCAUAACCCGAUCUGAUCAAUAAAUUAUCGUAUGGAUAAUGUUCAUAUCUUUCUACUAACCAUUAAAAGUAAUAAUAGUAGGAUUUCGUGAGCUCAGAAACCUUAAUUUGUUGAAAAAUGGCGUCGAUUUAUGUGCUUCCUUUUCGCAGCCUCAGUUACAAUUUGACAAGGAGUGAUGGGUAUUUAUGCAAAUAUUUAGGGACUCCUAUCAUCAUAGAUACUAUUUUUGGUCAUUUUAUAUUUAAAUAGCCAAUAGGAUGCAAAUGUGUCAGUUAUUUUCAGAAGCGGAAAACACCCGCCAUAUUUUUAUCUUCCAAAAUAACAACGUCUCUUGCCAUUUUCAGAUGUUUGUUUCUUGUAAAAUAAAAUCUCCUAAGAAGAAAAUAUAGCAUAGUCACCUGUAAAACUUACCUAUAUAACUAAUAAAUGAUGAAAUGACACAAGUUUAAUUGUCUUUAAUAGUAAAUUUCUUGAAAAAUCACACGUACACGAUGUAAACAAAUUACCGAGAUGGCGCGAUACUGUCGCCGUCUAUGUAAAAAUCGCGAUUGUCGCCCUUGAUUUUUUGGCCGUUACGUCAUAUGGAAGGAGGCGCAGAACUGAUCCGUGGCUUUCCCACUGAAUG